rnacentral:rRNA from 1 species
UACGUAGGGUGCGAGCGUUAAUCGGAAUUACUGGGCGUAAAGCGUGCGCAGGCGGCUUCUCAAGUCAGGGGUGAAAGCCCAGAGCUCAACUCUGGAACUGCCUUUGAGACUGAGUGGCUUGAGUACGAGAGAGGUGAGUGGAAUUCCCAGUGUAGAGGUGAAAUUCGUAGAUAUUGGGAAGAACACCGGUGGCGAAGGCGGCUCACUGGCUCGUAACUGACGCUCAUGCACGACAGCGUGGGGAUCAAACAGG